rnacentral:tRNA from 1 species
GCAGACAUAGUAUAAUGGUAUUAUUUUAGCCUUCCAAGCUAAAAAUACGGGUUCGAUUCCCGUUGUCUGCU